CGGAUUGCAGGCUGCAACCCGCCUGCAUGAAGCCGGAAUCGCUAGUAAUCGCGGAUCAGAAUGCCGCGGUGAAUACGUUCCCGGGUCUUGUACACACCGCCCGUCACACCAUGGGAGUCGGGAAUGCCCGAAGUCAGUGGCCCAACCGGAAGGGGGGAGCUGCCGAAGGCAGGCCCGGUGACUGGGGUGAAGUCGUAACAAGGUAGC
rnacentral:rRNA from 1 species